rnacentral:rRNA from 1 species
CCCAGACUCCUACGGGAGGCAGCAGUGGGGGAUAUUGCACAAUGGGGGAAACCCUGAUGCAGCAACGCCGCGUGAGUGAAGAAGGUCUUCGGAUUGUAAAGCUCUGUUCUUGGUGAAGAUAAUGACGGUAGCCAAGGAGAAAGCUCCGGCUAACUACGUGCCAGCAGCCGCGGUAAUACGGAGGAUGCGAGCGUUAUCCGGAUUUAUUGGGUUUAAAGGGUGCGCAGGCGGAAUGUCAAGUCAGCGGUAAAAUUUCGGGGCUCAACCCCGUCGUGCCGUUGAAACUGGCGUUCUUGAGUGAGCGAGAAGUAUGCGGAAUGCGUGGUGUAGCGGUGAAAUGCAUAGAUAUCACGCAGAACUCCGAUUGCGAAGGCAGCAUACCGGCGCUCAACUGACGCUCAUGCACGAAAGCGUGGGUAUCGAACAGGAUUAGAUACCCCCGUAUCC